CACACAGAGGCCACAUAACUUCCCAGAACCACACCAUGAGUCAGUGUCCGCACAGAAUGGAGAAACCUGGCCCCAGGUUCCCAGGUCCAGCACUGGGAUUUUCUUGGGUCCUAGAACAUACUGUUCCUUUAUUUAUUCCUUAGGUAAACCACCUUUCCUGAGUCCCCAGUAAUACGUAAAGCUGUCAUCAUUUUUAAACACCACUGAAGGCAGGUCAGCGUGUUCAGAGAUCAGAGAAACGUAACUUCCUGUUUAAUGUCUGGGAAAGACUGGAAGAGGAAAAACGCUGAGAAUUUGAAAAGACAAAAGUGUCUGCCGUCUGAAAUGAUACUCUUUAUGGAACUUAGGCUAAUGGCAUGUUGCUGAAUCGCUCUCAAGCCCAACUGAUCCCACUCAAGUUCUUGCCAACAGUGUAUGAACUUCUUCCUGGUCCACAGCCACGCCGGGACUUGGCAUCAUCACACGAUGUCUGCAUAUAACCGACAAAUUUCCCACUGCAAGUGCAUCUGGGAAUUUUUAUUUUGUGUUGAGUCACUUUGUGAGUCGUCUGCUUGUGUUUUACUUUCUGGGUCUCCUGCUCGUAGCUUUUGCUGUUCUCCGGCAUCACCUCGCUUCUACAGACAUCAUUUCCUCUGCAGAUUGUGUGAACAGAGCGUGUAUAAACUGUAAGAAUUGAGGACACGAGGUGAUUUGCCUGAAAGAGUCCCGUUCUAAGCCACCUAGAAGAGAGACCAGUUGAGCUGCCUAGACAGACGCUCAGACCAACUGAAGUACCUGGAAAGGACACUCUUCAGCCUGGUGAGCUGCCUCCAGACCGUGCAAUGCACUCUAAGUUCCAGUUUUCAUGAGCUGUCACCCAUGAUGGGGUGGGUUUUGGUGGUGCAGCUGUCAUGAGUCCUGUAAAGAACCCCUCACCGGUAUUCCUGUAAGUAAGACCAAUAAAACUAACU